rnacentral:rRNA from 1 species
GGUUAAGCGACUAAGCGUACACGGUGGAUGCCCUGGCAGUCAGAGGCGAUGAAGGACGUGCUAAUCUGCGAAAAGCGCCGGCGAGGUGAUAUGAACCUUUGACCCGGCGAUGUCCGAAUGGGGAAACCCAGUGCAAUUCGUUGCACUAUCGUUAACUGAAUACAUAGGU